CUCAAAGAUAAGCCAUGCAUGUUCCUAAGUAUAAAGCAACUAUUACGGUGAAACUGCGAAUGGCUCAUUAAAUCAGUUAUCGUUUAUUUGAUAGUACCUUACUACAUGGAUAACCGUGGUAAUUCUAGAGCUAAUACAUGCUAAAAACCUCGACUUCGGAAGGGGUGUAUUUAUUAGAUAAAAAACCAAUGCCCUUCGGGGCUCCUUGGUGAAUCAUAAUAACUUAACGAAUCGCAUGGCCUUGCGCCGGCGAUGGUUCAUUCAAAUUUCUGCCCUAUCAACUUUCGAUGGUAGGAUAGUGGCCUACCAUGGUAUCAACGGGUAACGGGGAAUUAGGGUUCGACUCCGGAGAGGGAGCCUGAGAAACGGCUACCACAUCCAAGGAAGGCAGCAGGCGCGCAAAUUACCCAAUCCCGACACGGGGAGGUAGUGACAAUAAAUACUGAUACAGGGCUCUUUUGGGUCUUGUAAUUGGAAUGAGUACAAUUUAAAUCCCUUAACGAGGAACAAUUGGAGGGCAAGUCUGGUGCCAGCAGCCGCGGUAAUUCCAGCUCCAAUAGCGUAUAUUAAAGUUGUUGCAGUUAAAAAGCUCGUAGUUGAACCUUGGGCCUGGCUGGCCGGUCCGCCUCACCGCGUGUACUGGUCCGGCCGGGCCUUUCCUUCUGGGGAACCUCAUGCCCUUCACUGGGCGUGUUGGGGAACCAGGACUUUUACUUUGAAAAAAUUAGAGUGUUCAAAGCAGGCCUUUGCUCGAAUACAUUAGCAUGGAAUAAUAGAAUAGGACGUGUGGUUCUAUUUUGUUGGUUUCUAGGACCGCCGUAAUGAUUAAUAGGGAUAGUCGGGGGCAUCAGUAUUCAAUCGUCAGAGGUGAAAUUCUUGGAUUGAUUGAAGACUAACUACUGCGAAAGCAUUUGCCAAGGAUGUUUUCAUUAAUCAGUGAACGAAAGUUAGGGGAUCGAAGACGAUCAGAUACCGUCGUAGUCUUAACCAUAAACUAUGCCGACUAGGGAUCGGACGGUGUUAGUAUUUUGACCCGUUCGGCACCUUACGAGAAAUCAAAGUUAUGAGUCAGGCGCGUGCUCAUGGAUG
rnacentral:rRNA from 1 species